rnacentral:rRNA from 1 species
UACGUAGGGACCAAGCGUUGUUCGGAUUUACUGGGCGUAAAGGGCGCGUAGGCGGCUUGACAAGUCACUUGUGAAAUCUCCGGGCUUAACUCGGAACGGCCAAGUGAAACUGUCAUGCUAGAGUGUAGAAGGGGCAAUCGGAAUUCUUGGUGUAGCGGUGAAAUGCGUAGAUAUCAAGAGGAACACCUGAGGUGAAGACGGGUUGCUGGGCUGAUACUGACGCUGAGGCGCGAAAGCUAGGGUAGCAAACGGG